GGCAGUGGUAGCUCAGUGGUUAAUGUGUUGGGCUACUGCUCAGAAACUCAUGAGUUCAAACCCCAUCACCACCA